CCCGCUGAACUUAAGCAUAUCAAUAAGCGGAGGAAAAGAAACUAACAAGGAUUCCCCUAGUAACUGCGAGUGAAGCGGGAAAAGCUCAAAUUUAAAAUCUGGCGGUCUUUGGCCGUCCGAGUUGUAAUCUAGAGAAGUAAUGCCCGUGCUGGACCGUGUAUAAGUCUCCUGGGAUGGGGCGUCAUAGAGGGUGAGAAUCCCGUCUUUGACACGGACUACCAGUGCAUUGUGGUAUGCUCUCACAGAGUCGAGUUGUUUGGGAAUGCAGCUCAAAAUGGGUGGUAAAUUCCAUCUAAAGCUAAAUAUUGGCGAGAGACCGAUAGCGAACAAGUACCGUGAGGGAAAGAUGAAAAGAACUUUGGAAAGGGAGUUAAACAGUACGUGAAAUUGCUGAAAGGGAAACGCUUGAAGUCAGUCGCGUUGGCCAGGGAUCAUCCUUGCUUUUGCAUGGUGUACUUUCUGGUUGACGGGUCAGCAUCAAUUUUGACCGCUGGAAAAGGGCCUGGGGAAUGUGGCAGCUUCGGCUGUGUUAUAGCCCCUGGUCACAUACGGCGGUUGGGAUUGAGGAACUCAGCACGCCGCAAGGCCGGGUUUCGACCACGUUCGUGCUUAGGAUGCUGGCAUAAUGGCUUUAAGCGACCCGUCUUGAAACACGG
rnacentral:rRNA from 1 species